GCAGCUCAGUGCUAGAGCAUCUGCUUUCCAUGCAGAAGGUCCCAGGUCCAAUACCUGGAAUCUCCA